rnacentral:misc_RNA from 1 species
AAGUCGUAACAAGGUUUCCGUAGGUUGUUAGGGUUUGCCUACGCUGUUAAGUCUACUGUUGAAUAGGCAACAUCUCUACCGUGCUAGAAAUCACCUACGUGGUACUAGCAGCUCAUGCGAAUGAGUUCACAGGUCAAAUAGAGGUGGCCCCUAAAAGGGUUAAGAUAUGAUCGAGCGGCAGUUUUCACGAGCUGCCUCUGAAGUGGAACCUGCGGAAGGAUCAUUAAGAGAACAUGCCCUCACGGGGUAUAUCUCCCCACCCUGUGUUUAUGCUACCUUUGUUGCUUUGGCGGGCCUGUC